UACGAAGGGGGCUAGCGUUGUUCGGAAUUACUGGGCGUAAAGCGCGCGCAGGCGGUUCUUCAAGUCAGAGGUGAAAGCCCAGAGCUCAACUCUGGAAUGGCCUUUGAGACUAGAGAACUAGGGUACGGGAGAGGUGAGUGGAAUUCCGAGUGUAGAGGUGAAAUUCGUAGAUAUCGGGAAGAACACCAGUGGCGAAGGCGGCUGCCUGGCCUGUAACUGACGCUGAGACACGAAAGCGUGGGGAGCGAACCGG
rnacentral:rRNA from 1 species